ACUCCUACGGGAGGCAGCAGUAGGGAAUCUUCCACAAUGGGCGCAAGCCUGAUGGAGCAACACCGCGUGAGUGAAGAAGGGUUUCGGCUCGUAAAGCUCUGUUGUUAAAGAAGAACACGUAUGAGAGUAACUGUUCAUACGUUGACGGUAUUUAACCAGAAAGUCACGGCUAACUACGUGCCAGCAGCCGCGGUAAUACGUAGGUGGCAAGCGUUAUCCGGAUUUAUUGGGCGUAAAGAGAGUGCAGGCGGUUUUCUAAGUCUGAUGUGAAAGCCUUCGGCUUAACCGGAGAAGUGCAUCGGAAACUGAAUAACUUGAGUGCAGAAGAGGGUAGUGGAACUCCAUGUGUAGCGGUGGAAUGCGUAGAUAUAUGGAAGAACACCAGUGGCGAAGGCGGCUACCUGGUCUGCAACUGACGCUGAGACUCGAAAGCAUGGGUAGCGAACGGGAUUAGAUACCCUGGUAGGAUAGCG
rnacentral:rRNA from 1 species